AGCAGCCGCGGUAAUUCCAGCUCCAAUAGCGUAUAUUAAAGUUGUUGCAGUUAAAAAGCUCGUAGUUGAAUUUCGAGAUCAAAUUGUUGGUCGUGCCUCGGUACGUACUGGCAUUAUUGAUUUCUCCCUUCUGAAGAACCACGAUGUCAUUAAUUUGGUGUCGCGGGGAAUCAGGACUGUUACUUUGAAAAAAUUAGAGUGUUUAAAGCAGGCUUACGCUUGAAUACAUUAGCAUGGAAUAAUGAAAUAGGACGUUUGAACCUAUUUUGUUGGUUUCUAGGAUCGACGUAAUGAUUAAUAGGGAUAGUUGGGGGCAUUAGUAUUCAAUUGCCAGAGGUGAAAUUCUUGGAUUUAUUGAAGACUAACUACUGCGAAAGCAUUUGCCAAGGAUGUUUUCAUU
rnacentral:rRNA from 1 species